rnacentral:tRNA from 1 species
CUAGUGAGUAGUUUAAGAAAAGACGAUAGGUUGUGGUUCUAUAGAUGGGUUGCCCUUCACUAGA